GCUUAAUGCGUUAGCUGCAGCACUAAGGGGGCGGAAACCCCCUAACACUUAGCACUCAUCGUUUACGGCGUGGACUACCAGGGUAUCUAAUCCUGUUUGAUCCCCACGCUUUCGCACAUCAGCGUCAGUUACAGACCAGAAAGUCGCCUUCGCCACUGGUGUUCCUCCAUAUCUCUGCGCAUUUCACCGCUACACAUGGAAUUCCACUUUCCUCUUCUGCACUCAAGUUUUCCAGUUUCCAAUGACCCUCCACGGUUGAGCCGUGGGCUUUCACAUCAGACUUAAAAAACCGCCUACGCGCGCUUUACGCCCAAUAAUUCCGGAUAACGCUUGCCACCUACGUAUUACCGCGGCUGCUGGCACGUAGUUAGCCGUGGCUUUCUGAUUAGGUACCGUCAAGAUGUGCACAGUUACUUACACAUAUGUUCUUCCCUAAUAACAGAGUUUUACGAUCCGAAGACCUUCAUCACUCACGCGGCGUUGCUCCGUCAGGCUUUCGCCCAUUGCGGAAGAUUCCCUACUGCUGCCUCCCGUAGGAGUCUGGACCGUGUCUCAGUUCCAGUGUGGCCGAUCACCCUCUCAGGUCGGCUAUGCAUCGUUGCCUUGGUAAGCCGUUACCUUACCAACUAGCUAAUGCAGCGCGGAUCCAUCUAUAAGUGACAGCAAGACCGUCUUUUACUUUUGAACCAUGCGGUUCAAAAUAUUAUCCGGUAUUAGCUCCGGUUUCCCGAAGUUAUCCCAGUCUUAUAGGUAGGUUAUCCACGUGUUACUCACCCGUCCGCCGCUAACAUCAGAGAAGCAAGCUUCUCGUCCGUUCGCUCGACUUGCAUGUAUUAGGCACGCCGCCAGCGUUCAUCCUGAGCCAGGAUCAAACCCUC
rnacentral:rRNA from 1 species